UGGGAUCUGUUAUUUCCACUCAUGAAACAUGGGACCAAAUCUUUACAUGUUGUGUUUAUAUUUUAUUCAGUGUAGACACCCUGUGGGGUUGUACCUCACCGUAGGUCAGUGUAGACACCCUGUGGGGUUGUACCUCACCGUAGGUCAGUGUAGACACCCUGUGGGGUUGUACCUCACCGUAGGUCAGUGUAGACACCCUGUGGGGUUGUACCUCACCGUAGGUCAGUGUAGACACCCUGUGGGGUUGUACCUCACCGUAGGUCAGUGUAGACACCCUGUGGGGUUGUACCUCACCGUAGGUCAGUGUAGACACCCUGUGGGGUUGUACCUCACCGUAGGUCAGUGUAGACACCCUGUGGGGUUGUACCUCACCGUAGGUCAGUGUAGACACCCUGUGGGGUUGUACCUCACCGUAGGUCAGUGUAGACACCCUGUGGGGUUGUACCUCACCGUAGGUCAGUGUAGACACCCUGUAGGGUUGUACCUCACCGUAGGUCAGUGUAGACACCCUGUGGGGUUGUACCUCACCGUAGGUCAGUGUAGACACCCCGUGGAGUUCUACCUCACCGUAGGACAGUAUCCGGCAGGGUAGCCUAGUGGUUAGAGCGUUGGACUAGUAACCGAAAGGUUGCAAGUUCGAAUCCCCGAGCCGACGAGGUACAAAUCUGUCGUUCUGCCCCUGAACAGGCAGUUAACUCAUUGUUCCUAGGCAGUCAUUGAAAAUAAGAAUUUGUUCUUAACUAACUGACUUGCCUAGUAAAAAAAAAUGUUUUAAUCCAUUACCAGCCCCUUCACGCAGGCCUUCUUAGGGAGACAUCAUAGCACUUGAUUUGUUUUAUUCACCUGUUUCUAAUUCUGGUGUUUUUAGUGUUGCUCUCUCAUUCUGGCUGCACCUCCCUAACCUCUGACCUAACCUCUGAUCCUGUAUCAUGUUCUACAGAAGCCAGGGAACCAUUUGGUUUGUAGGGUGAGGUGCUACUUUAGAAUGAUGUUAUUAAAAAAAUACACAUAAAAGUUAUUUGAAUGAUGAAACAAUUGAAGGAAUAUUGAAUGAGCCUUGGAGAUAAUGUGGAUUUGUUAGUUUCAGGUGGUGUGUGAGUUUUGAGUGAUUAUAAUGCGAAGGGAGUUCGGAUACGGUCCUAUCUGUACUUGGCGAGUUUGGUCUGCUCUAAACCACGCCCUCUCUGAGAUCUUUAGAAUGUUUAUCAAACCUGUUUAGAAGUUUAUGGUUUACAUCAACGUCCUCCAUCUUGUCAGAAAGCUGUUCUCACCCACAGAGCAACACUUUUAUUACAAUACGUCUGAUGUUACGGGUCAUCUCUCUGGCCAAACUCUGUAAUCUCCCUCUGGAACAGUCCUGUGUCCCUGUAGUUUUAGUUUAUUGUCCCCUUUUCUUGGUAUCUAUUUUGUUUUGAUUUGGAGAUGGUUCCGAGCUGCUAAAUCAGUGUAGUUGAACAGCAGGCCUUCUCUUCUGACUCUUGCCACGGUGACAACAGGCCUUCUCUUCUGACUCUUGCCACGGUGACAACAGGCCUUCUCUUCUGACUCUUGCCACGGUGACAACAGGCCUUCUCUUCUGACUCUUGCCACGGUGACAUCAGGCCUUCUCUUCUGACUCUUGCCACGGUGACAACAGGCCUUCUCUUCUGACUCUUGCCACGGUGACAACAGGCCUUCUCUUCUGACUCUUGCCACGGUGACAACAGGCCUUCUCUUCUGACUCUUGCCACGGUGACAACAGGCCUUCUCUUCUGACUCUUGCCACGGUGACAACAGGCCUUCUCUUCUGACUCUUGCCACGGUGACAACAGGCCUUCUCUUCUGACUCUUGCCACGGUGACAACAGGCCUUCUCUUCUGACUCUUGCCACGGUGACAACAGGCCUUCUCUUCUGACUCUUGCCACGGUGACAACAUUGACAACAGGUGAAAAAUCCUUUCUGCAUAUUAUUAUUAGCUGUAAAAAAAAUGUUAAAAAAUACAUGUAUUUAUUGUGUACAAAAUGUUCAAUAAUAAAACGGAUGGAAAAAUUCCGUUUUUUUUGUCUUUUUGUUCUUCACAGUAGACAUAGUUAAAUCAUCUCUGUCCAAGAUAUUAUAGUUAAAUCAUCUCUGUCCAAGAUAUUAUAGUUAAAUCAUCUCUCUCCAAGAUAUUAUAGGUAAAUCAUCUCUCUCCAGGAUAUUAUAGGUAAAUCAUCUCUCUCCAAGAUAUUAUAGUUAAAUCAUCUCUGUCCAAGAUAUUAUAGUUAAAUCAUCUCUCUCCAAGAUAUUAUAGUUAAAUCAUCUCUGUCCAAGAUAUUAUAGUUAAAUCAUCUCUCUCCAAGAUAUUAUAGUUAAAUCAUCUCUCU